rnacentral:rRNA from 1 species
GAUGAACGCUGGCGGCGUGCCUAAUACAUGCAAGUCGAGCGAACGGACGAGAAGCUUGCUUCUCUGAUGUUAGCGGCGGACGGGUGAGUAACACGUGGAUAACCUACCUAUAAGACUGGGAUAACUUCGGGAAACCGGAGCUAAUACCGGAUGAUAUUUUGAACCGCAUGGUUCAAAAGUGAAAGACGGUCUUGCUGUCACUUAUAGAUGGAUCCUCGCUGCAUUAUCUAGUUGGUAAGGUAACGGCUUACCAAGGCAACGAUGCAUAGCCGACCUGAGAGGGUGAUCGGCCACACUGGAACUGAGACACGGUCCAGACUCCUACGGGAGGCAGCAGUAGGGAAUCUUCCGCAAUGGGCGAAAGCCUGACGGAGCAACGCCGCGUGAGUGAUGAAGGUCUUCGGAUCGUAAAACUCUGUUAUUAGGGAAGAACAUAUGUGUAAGUAACUGUGCACAUCUUGACGGUACCUAAUCAGAAAGCCACGGCUAACUACGUG